AUGUUCAGUUCUGCCUGGGAGCAUAUUUGUCUUCACUGCCCUUCAGACGGUCAAAUCCCAGGACUGAAUCUCUGCUCAUAUAUUCCUAAUGAAUGCAAAAAAAAUUCAUUCAAAAUAUUCAGGGUUAUGAAAAUAAACUUCCUUAAUAUACACAAAAAGGGUCUUUUAGCAAUAUUACCUUUCUAUUCCCCCCAACCCCUACUAAAUAUUUGCACUACAGAUUAAUUAGCUAAAAAUACACAUGAUAAUAUGGACCAUAUUUUUAAUCACAUCCUUCAGUUGUAGAAUUUUUUAGUUUUGAAUUUAGAGAAUAUUUUAAUUACACACUGUGAUAAUUAAUAAGGAAAAAGCCUAAGAGCUCCCAAUGUUAAUCUAGGGUUCCUUGCUAAAUAUAUACCAUUUUGAAUGACAGGUCAGUUUCUCUUACAAUUUCACCUACCCUUCGGUUAAUACCAUCGACAAUGAAGUUUGAAUUAAUUUUUGGAAAUUCAUUGAGGUAUAAUGUCAACUAACAAAAUGAAGAUGUAGUAUGUUAUUAGUUAG
rnacentral:lncRNA from 1 species